GCCUUCAUGGUGUAGUGGUGAGCACGCUCGACGCGUAUUCGAGAGGUCCGUGGUUCGAAUCCCGGAGAGGACA
rnacentral:tRNA from 1 species